rnacentral:rRNA from 1 species
GGAUCGCUGGAGCAAUCCAAGAUGACCCACGGCGGGGACGACGUGGAAGAGCAGGAGGAGAUUCGCGAGAGGGAGACCAAGAGGAUGAAGACUAAUCCAGCGUCGGUGGAAGCCGCCGCCAGCGACGACGACGAUGGGGACGAGGAGUUGGAGAUCUCGUCUCCGCUCUGCGAGCCCUACAUCCCGGACGAGCUGAAAGACCCCUACCGCUACCCGGGGGUAUCAGCCGCCUACGACGUCGCGGAAGCCGAAUUCUCUGAAAAACAAGGUCGCCUGGAUAACCUGCCCACGCGCCAAUAUUUCGACUGGCCGGUCCUCCGCAUCCGCGAUCCUGGAAGGAAGGCUGCGCUCUCCGCGGCGAGAUCCCUCCUCCGUCUCUCCUCCUCUCUAGAUGGCGAGUCGCUGGGGCAUUCGGCCGGUCUAUGGAUUGAUUCGGGUGACGCGAGCGGAACCGGCAUCGUUCUCACGUCUGCAAAUCUGAUCCGCGCCAACAAGCCAUUGGCCAAAGACCACCGGGGGCGGAAAGACCGGUACGAGUAUCAUCCAGGCGCUCAAGUUACGGUUCACUUGCUUGAUGACACCACUGCUGAGGGCCGUCUGCUCUACCACCAGGAGCAUUACGACAUUGCUUUAUUUAAGGUUGAGGUGGAUCAUCGUGUUCAAUUAGCCUCCUUUGCUGACACAGUCGACGAUGGUCAAGAGGUUUUGCGGCUCGGAAGAAAAGAAGAUUUUAAUCUAAAGAUAACGCGGGGCGUGGUAGAUUUCCGGAAUCCAGAACUAGAUGAAGGACACCACUACAUGUACUUUUCCCGAGAUAAUAAAUAUGUGGAGAACGAUGGACGACAUGGAAAGAAUGUGUGGAUGGCAAGGGGAAAGGGUCCGUACAUCCGGCCUAAGUGUGACGAUGGUGGAGACCCCGUCAUUGAUAUUGCUGGAAAGGUUGUGGGAAUGACCAACCGUUGUGGAAGUUGGUAUUUUGUUCCUUCUUCCAUUUUGAAUGGGUGCAUCGAUUUGUGGAGAAAUUUUGGGUGCAUUCCUCGGCCCCUCAUUGGUUUGCAGUUUGAGGCCAUAAAGUUUCUAGAUCCAACACAUGCUGAAUAUAUAUGGCGCAAGUUAAACAUUGAUGAUGGUCUUGUUCUUGAGGAGGUGUCAACUGCGUCACAUGCUGAGGAAGUUGGAAUCAGAGUAGGUGAUAUUAUUCAAUACAUAAAUGGAGAACGCAUUUCUACCACAACUGAG